GAUGAACGCUAGCGGGAGGCCUAACACAUGCAAGCCGAGCGGUAGAGUUUCUUCGGAAACUUGAGAGCGGCGCCCGGGUGCGUAACACGUGUGCAACCUACCUUUAUCUGGGGGAUAGCCUUUCGAAAGGAAGAUUAAUACCCCAUAAUAUAAUGAUUGGCAUCAAUUAUUAUUGAAAACUCCGGUGGAUAGAGAUGGGCACGCGCAAGAUUAGAUAGUUGGUGAGGUAACGGCUCACCAAGUCAAUGAUCUUUAGGGGUCCUGAGAGGGAGAUCCCCCACACUGGUACUGAGACACGGACCAGACUCCUACGCGAGGCAGCAGUGAGGAAUAUUAGACAAUGGGUGAGAGCCUGAUCCAGCCAUCCCGCGUGAAAGAUGACGGUCCUAUGGAUUGUAAACUUCUUUUGUACAGGGAUAAACCUACCCUCGUGAGGGUAGCUGAAGGUACUGAACGAAUAAGCACCGGCUAACUCCGUG
rnacentral:rRNA from 1 species